ACGAACGCUGGCGGCGUGCCUAACACAUGCAAGUCGAACGUGAUUGGAAGCUUGCUUCCAUGAAAGUGGCGCACGGGUGAGUAACGCGUAGAUAAUCUACCUGAUGAUCCGGGAUAACACUUCGAAAGGGGUGCUAAUACCUGAUAAGCCCACGGAGUCUUCGGACUCUGCGGGAAAAGGGGGGGACCUUUAUCGGCCUUCCGUCAUCAGAUGAGUCUGCGUACCAUUAGCUAGUUGGUAGGGUAAAGGCCUACCAAGGCGACGAUGGUUAGCUGGUCUGAGAGGAUGAUCAGCCACACUGGAACUGAGACACGGUCCAGACUCCUACGGGAGGCAGCAGUGGGGAAUUUUGCGCAAUGGGGGAAACCCUGGCGCAGCAACGCCGCGUGAGUGAUGAAGGCCCUUGGGUCGUAAAGCUCUGACAGAGGGAAAGAAGUGUAGAGUGGCUAAUAUCCACAUUACUUGACGGUACCCUCAAAGGAAGCACCGGCUAACUCCGUGCCAGCAGCCGCGGUAAUACGGGGGGUGCAAGCGUUGUUCGGAUUUAUUGGGCGUAAAGCGCGUGUAGGCGGUUUUAUAAGUCUGAUGUGAAAGCCCUGGGCUCAACCCGGGAAGUGCAUUGGAUACUGUAAGACUUGAAUACGGGAGAGGGCAGUGGAAUUCCUAGUGUAGGAGUGAAAUCCGUAGAUAUUAGGAGGAACACCGGUGGCGAAGGCGGCUGCCUGGACCGAUAUUGACGCUGAGACGCGAAAGCGUGGGUAGCAAACAGGAUUAGAUACCCUGGUAGUCCACGCCGUAAACGAUGAGAACUAGGUGUUGCGGGUAUUGACCCCUGCAGUGCCGUAGCUAACGCAUAAGU
rnacentral:rRNA from 1 species